UUAACUAACUAAAAGAGACGAGUAAAUCGAUCGAGGGCCUCGAGGAAUUAUUUUUUUUUGAAAGAUAGGUAGCACGCUACCUGUUUCGUUUACUUCAUUUAGAAAUAAACUUAGCUGGAAAUGUGAAUUAACUAGGAUUCGAACUUGGGUCUCGGAUACCAACCAUCAAACCCUUUGCCACUUGCUUUAGGGACUGUCGGUGGCCUCGAGGAAUUAUUAGACGACACAUUAGG
rnacentral:lncRNA from 1 species